rnacentral:rRNA from 1 species
GACGUAGGGGGCAAGCGUUGUUCGGAAUUAUUGGGCGUAAAGCGCUCGUAGGCGGGACAGGAAGUUCGUGUUGAAAGACCUCGGCUCAACUGAGGGACCGGCUCGAAUACUCUUGUUCUUGAGGCAAUCAGAGGGUGAUGGAAUUCCCGGUGUAGCGGUGAAAUGCGUAGAUAUCAGGAGGAACACCGAUGGCGAAGGCAGGUCUCUGGGCCGCAACUGACGCUGAGGAGCGAAAGCAUGGGGAGCGAACAGG